UGGGGAAUAUUGCACAAUGGGCGCAAGCCUGAUGCAGCCAUGCCGGGUGUAUGAAGAAGGCCUUCGGGUUGUAAAGUACUUUCAGCGGGGAGGAAGGGAGUAAAGUUAAAACCUUUGCUCAUUGACGUUACCCGCAGAAGAAGCACCGGCUAACUCCGGGCCAGCAGCCGCGGUAAUACGGAGGGUGCAAGCGUUAAUCGGAAUUACUGGGCGUAAAGCGCACGCAGGCGGUCUGUCAAGUCGGAUGUGAAAUCCCCGGGCUUAACCUGGGAACUGCAUUCUAAACUGGCAGGCUAGAGUCGUGUAGAGGGGGGUAGAAUUCCCGGUGUAGCGGUGAAAUGCGUAGAGGACUGGAGGAAUACCCGUGGCGAAGGCGGCCCCCUGGACAACGCACGACGCUCAGGUGCGAAAGCGGGGGGAGCAAACAGG
rnacentral:rRNA from 1 species